AAACCAGCACCUCAAGUGGUCAGGAGGAUUAUUGGGCCUAAAGCAUCCGUAGCCUGCUCUGUAAGUUUCCGGUUAAAUCCAUUAGCUCAACUGAUGGGCCGCCGGAAAAACUGCAAAGCUAGGGAGUGGGAGAGGUAGACGGUACUCGGUAGGAAGGGGUAAAAUCCUUUGAUCUAUUGAUGACCACCAGUGGCGAAGGCGGUCUACCAGAACACGUUCGACGGUGAGGGAUGAAAGCUGGGGGAGCAAACCGGAUUAGAAACCCCAGUAGUCC
rnacentral:rRNA from 1 species